UACGAAGGGUGCAAACGUUGCUCGGAAUUAUUGGGCGUAAAGCGCACGUAGGCGGCAUUGCAAGUCGGAUGUGAAAUCCCUCGGCUCAACCAAGGAAGUGCAUCCCGAAACUGCUGUGCUUGAGUACUAAAGAGGAUCGCGGAAUUCCCGGGUGUAGAGGUGAAAUUCGUAGAUAUCGGGAGGAACACCUGUGGCGAAGGCGACCCCCUGGUUGGAUACUGACGCUGAGACGCGAAAGCGUGGGGAGCAAACAGG
rnacentral:rRNA from 1 species